GAUGAACGCUGGCGGCGUGCCUAAUACGUGCGAGUCGAGCGAACGGACGAGAAGCUUGCUUCUCUGAUGUUAGCGGCGGACGGGUGAGUAACACGUGGAUAACCUACCUAUAAGACUGGGAUAACUUCGGGAAACCGGAGCUAAUACCGGAUGAUAUUUUGAACCGCAUGGUUCAAAAGUGAAAGACGGUCUUGCUGUCACUUAUAGAUGGAUCCGCGCUGCAUUAGCUAGUUGGUAAGGUAACGGCUUACCAAGGCAACGAUGCAUAGCCGACCUGAGAGGGUGAUCGGCCACACUGGAACUGAGACACGGUCCAGACUCCUACGGGAGGCAGCAGUAGGGAAUCUUCCGCAAUGGGCGAAAGCCUGACGGAGCAACGCCGCGUGAGUGAUGAAGGUCUUCGGAUCGUAAAACUCUGUUAUUAGGGAAGAACAUAUGUGUAAGUAACUGUGCACAUCUUGACGGUACCUAAUCAGAAAGCCACGGCUAACUACGUG
rnacentral:rRNA from 1 species